rnacentral:misc_RNA from 1 species
UGACCCUCUACUGUUCUUCUUCCUCCUAGCGGGAAAUCGCGAACGACAACCUAGCAUCCCGUACCCGGCUCUGCGUCCCUCCCGUCUUGUCCUUAUUCUCUCAUACUCAAAUCGUGUGGUGUCUCGAUCUCAGCAUCUUACUCGUCCUUGCUCUCCAAAUCGACGGCCUCCAUUGUCGAUGAAAUUGGUACUAUUCAAGCUUUCAACCUUAUCUUCAAAGGAUUUUUUAAUUUCAAAUUUUAA